rnacentral:rRNA from 1 species
AGUGAACGCUGGCGGCAGGCCUAACACAUGCAAGUCGAGCGGCAGCGCGUCCGACCACCCUCGGGUGGUCGGAUGGCGGCGAGCGGCGGACGGGUGAGGAAUGCAUCGGAAUCUGCCUCGUUGUGGGGGAUAACGUAGGGAAACUUACGCUAAUACCGCAUACGACCUACGGGUGAAAGUGGGGGACCUUCGGGCCUCACGCGAUGAGAUGAGCCGAUGCCGGAUUAGCUAGUUGGCGGGGUAAAGGCCCACCAAGGCGACGAUCCGUAGCUGGUCUGAGAGGAUGAUCAGCCACACUGGAACUGAGACACGGUCCAGACUCCUACGGGAGGCAGCAGUGGGGAAUAUUGGACAAUGGGGGCAACCCUGAUCCAGCCAUGCCGCGUGUGUGAACGAA